UCCCUGAUGGUCCAGUGGUUAGGACUGCGCCCUCUCGCUGCCAAGGGCCCAGGUUCAAUCCCUGGCUGGGGAA
rnacentral:tRNA from 1 species